rnacentral:snoRNA from 1 species
GCAGAUGAUGAGCUUGGCCGCUCCUGAGUGAUGAGGACAAACCUCGGUCCUGAUG